UACUUCCUCACUCAAGAACUAUAUGCCAGUCUCCUUUUUGUAACAGGUGGACAAGGAGGGCUGAAAAAAACAUGGCACUAAAGCACUACCUGAGAGAGGUGAAGCAUGCUAGUAUCCACAAAGCCAAGACCUCUCCUGUUUUUUGUACCCCUUGCCAGUAAGGAAGCACAAGAAGUUUGGAGGUGACACUGCAAGAACAGCUGACCCCAAGUGACCAAAGGGA